rnacentral:rRNA from 1 species
GACGAACGCUGGCGGCGUGCCUAAUACAUGCAAGUUGAGCGCUGAAGGUUGGUACUUGUACCAACUGGAUGAGCAGCGAACGGGUGAGUAACGCGUGGGGAAUCUGCCUUUGAGCGGGGGACAACAUUUGGAAACGAAUGCUGAUACCGCAUAAAAACUUUAAACACAAGUUUUAAGUUUGAAAGAUGCAAUUGCAUCACUCAAAGAUGAUCCCGCGUUGUAUUAGCUAGUUGGUGAGGUAAAGGCUCACCAAGGCGAUGAUACAUAGCCGACCUGAGGGGGUGAUCGGCCACAUUGGGACUGAGACACGGCCCAAACUCCUACGGGAGGCAGCAGUAGGGAAUCUUCGGCAAUGGACGAAAGUCUGACCGAGCAACGCCGCGUGAGUGAAGAAGGUUUUCGGAUCGUAAAACUCUGUUGGUAGAGAAGAACGUUGGUGAGAGUGGAAAGCUCAUCAAGUGACGGUAACUACCCAGAAAGGGACGGCUAACUACGUG